GCGGGCUUGGCGACGCCGCUUGCCGGCUCCUGGGCGGGCGGGAGGAUCGGGAAUCGCGGAUUGGACCGGGUGUCCAGGCUCAAGGGCGCCGUGAUUGGAAAGAACGGAAAAGGGGCAUCGGAGAGACAGCGAGGGUCAUGGAAGUGGCCGCCCGCUUCCCCUCUGAGUGGGUCUUCCAGACCCGAGUUACAAACUGCCCCGUUUGUUUCCUCUUUCUGUUAGGUGUCAGACAGCUGACACCUAACAAACACGCACGCCUCCAGGACAGCCACAUGCCGAGCUGUGCUGCCCCUUGUGGGUGUUGGGGGCGCUCCCGAAGCGGGAGAGGGCGGAGUUAGGGUGGCCCACGAUCCAGGAGAGGCCUGGCCUGGUGUUUUUAUGGGAUGGGUAUUAUCUGUUGGGAUAAACAAUUCCUGCAGGGCCCUUUUUCCUUCCCGAAGCACGCCUAGUUUUGUGUUGGACUCGCGCGCUGUGGCGGAUGUUCGGAUCUGGGGGUGCUCGCCUGCUCCAGCAGCGCCUCCCGGGCACCUGUGGCACGUUCCCCAUUUACGCGAGUGGGAUCUCCGCGGGGGGACCCUGGCGCCACGGGCAGGGCUGUGCAGAAAAACACGUUCUUCUGUCCGGGGAGAGGAGGAGGCACCGUGUGACCUCCCUGGGAGAGGAUGAGGAAGAGGAAGCUGAGCUGGCACGGGUGGGGGGGCCAGCCUCGGGCUGCCCUCAGGAACCUGGCAUUCCCUCCCAGCCCCGGAGCCCCAGCGCACAGACGCUGAUGAAACCUACGCGCCUGUUUGCAUGAUGAAAUAAAUCCUCGUGGCUCUCCACUCCCCUCCCCUUGUCGCACUGCCCCCACCCCUUUUUGCUCCUCUCCCUUCAUCCUCCUCCACGCUGCUUUCCAUACUACUAGAAAACGCGACAGAUCCUGGCGCUUGGCUCGGUGGCGGGCGGGGGCCACAUGCUUAUUUUCUCAGGCAGCUGUCCCGCCAGCAGUGAGCGCCGCCAGAUCCGAGGUCCUCUGCUGUUUGAUCCAAAACAUACACUGUUAGAACGGUUAGGGAUCUUGUCCAGCCCUGCCGUCUUAUUCUACAGAGCCCGGCAUUGAGGCCCCAGAGCUUGAACACGUGUCUGUUGCCCAUUGUCACACCGUUUUCCCAGAUUGGACAAGAAAUAGCAACCAGGCAGAGAAGGGAGAAAUGCUUCCUUUUCUAUUAGAAAUGAGCCAAGGAAAAGCUCGCAGGGGCUCUUGUUGCCACUCCCGACUCAUCCUCUUUCCCCUGCUGGGUCUUUUGUAGUCCAUGCUGUUCUCCUUUGUCUCUGUCACAGUGGUCUACCAGGACAAUUCCUGACAAUUUUGGAGUUCUUUCAAAUGAGGGUGUAAGUGUCUGCUGGAUUUGUUCAGGGUGGGCCCUGAGGCCGGCCUGAAGGCACAGGUAGCCCUUUUUUGCACCCUUUAUUGCUGGAUUGUUGGGUCAAAUUGGAAGCCACGGAGUGUUUAUAGUGUUUAUAGGCACUUCUGGCCCGGGUACCAAGGUUCACACCUGUAAUCCCAGCAUUUUGGGGAGCCGAGGCAGGAGAAUUGCUUGAGGCCAGGAGUUCAAGACCAGCCUGGGCAACAUAGUGAGACUCCAUCUCUACAAAGAAACAAACAAAACAACAACAACAACAACAAAAUGUUGUCCUAGCUACUACAGAGGCUGAGGCCAGAGGAUCGCUUGAGCCCAGGAGUUGGAGGCUGUAGUGAGCUAUGAUUGACCACUGCACUCCAGCCUGGGUGACAGAGCGAGACCCUAUGUCUAAAAUAAAUAAUAAAUAUAAAAUAUAGGAACUUCAAAUCCACUUUUCACUUUGGGUUGGGAAGUGGGGAGUGGGCAGGGGGCUGACAGACCACAGCAAAUCCCCCUCCCUUUGAAGGUCUUUAGCAGUAGGGGGAGUGGGGAAGGGACUUCUGCAUCAGGGCAUAGCAUAUGUUUCUGAGAUCACUGGAAGCAGCUAGCAGUGCCAGGAGCCUAAAGCCAGCUCACUGUUUGGUCGUCCAGUGGAGCAGGUACAGCUCACAGUCCCUAAGCCAGGGAAACCUGGCUGACUUCCACUAAAGUCAAGCAAGCCUGGUUGGCCUCGAUUAGCCAAGGUGUGGACUCUUCCUCCAAAGCCCACCUCAGCCCACCUCUGCCAGGGCAGAGAAGCCGAAAUGGUCACAUCGCAGCCGAAAUGGUCACACCGUUUUGCUCCAGAGCAGAAUACUGCCUCUCAGUCUUCCAGGUGCUUGAGGAUAACUGGGGGCUUCAUUUAAGUGCAUAUUCUGAUUCUGUAGGUGGGGGUGGGAACUAGAUUCAGCAUUUCGUUUUUUUUCUUUCUUUUUUUUCUUUUCUUUUUUUUUUUUUUGAGACAGGGUCUCACUCUAUCACCCAGGCUGGAGUGCAGUGGCGCAAUCUCAGCUCACAGCAACCUCCACCUCCUGGGUUCAAGCAAUCCUCCCACCCCAGCCUCCCCAAUAACUGGGACAACAGGCAUGCACCACCCAUGCCCAGCUGAUUUUUGUAUUUUUUGGUAGAGACGGGGGUUUCACCAUGUUGGCCAGGCUGGUCUCAAACUCCUGGCCUCAAGUGAUCUGCCUGCCUCGCUCGGCCUUCCAGAAUGCUGGGAUUACAGGCGUGAGUCACCAUGCCCAGCCUAGAUUCAGCAUUUCUAACUAGCUCUGACUGAUUGGUGCACAUACCACACUCUGAGUACUCAGGAAUUAGUGAAACAUAACUUCCCUCACCUUUCAGAUCUCUGGAGUCUAGCAAAAAAAAAAAAAGAUGGCUCCAUCCAGGUAAACUUUGAUCUCUAAAUCGUGGUGUGGAGAGCCAGGCUUUUGAUAGAGUGUCUGCAUGGCUGUCUGCACCUGCUUACUUAUAGGGACUGUCAGCUUCUCAGGAAAAACCACUGGAGUAAGUACCCCCCAGUCACUCCUGCUGGGAAUGGCCCUCAAGUGAUUGUCCCUGGAGGGAAAGAAGCAGUGGUUGGGUUGCACUAUCUCCAUUCCUAUGACUCCAGUUUGCUUUCCUUUUUUUUUUUUUUUUUUUUUGGGACGGAGUUUCCCUCUGUCGCCCAAGCUGGAGUGCAAUGGUGAGAUCUUGGCUCACUGCAAGCUCUGCCUCCCGGGUUCACGCCAUUCUCUUGCCUCAGCCUCCCGAGUAGCUGGGGCUACAGGCGCCCGCGACCACGCCUGGCUAAUUUUUUGUGUUUUUAGUAGAGACGGGGUUUCACCGUGUUAGCCAGGAUGGUCUCGAUCUCCUGACCUCAUGAUCCGCCUGCCUUGGCCUCCCAAAGUACUGGGAUUACAGGCGUGAGCCACUGCACCCGGCCCUUUUUUUUUUUUUUUUUUUCCUGAGACAGGGUCUCAUGGUGUCACCCAGGCUGGAGUACAGUGGCACAAACAUAGCUCACUGCAGUCUCAAACUCCUGGGCUCAAGUGAUCCUCCUGCCUCAGCCUUGCAAGUAGCUGGGACUAUAGGCACGUGCCACCAUGCCCUGCUAAUUUUUUUUAUUUUUUUGUAGAGGCAGGGUCUCUAUGUAUUACCCAGGCUGGCCUCAAACUCCUGGGUUCAAGCAGUCCUCCCACCUCGGCCUCCCAAACUGCUGGGAUUGUAGGCAUGAGUCACCUCACCUGGCCUCCAGUUUGCUUUCCAUGGUCAUUAACCAUUUGCACACUGAGGCUCUGCUCUGAGGUUAGCUGUCCAGAGUACUUAAGAUAAUUUAAUUUAAUUGCCGAAGGGAGUGUCGUGUAUGAAUAUUUGAGUCUGUGGAGUCUUAAAAAUAUCCAGCGACACCAUAAACAGCUCAUUAGCCAGCAGAACCUUUGAGUGGGUCAGAAAGAAACUUUCCCUCAUCAAUCUCCACAUUCCCAGCUCCGUGUUGCAUGUUUGACUCUGAAGCCUAUAUACAGGCUUGGAUGGCAGUUGUGCCAAAGACCCGUACCUGGAUAAGGUAAAUCCGAGGUGAGCAGGUAGGGCUGCAGGUGUUAAUGGCACCCUGUUUGGUUAAGCAAACAAGGUCUGUGCCCAGGAAGCUUACCUUGGAGCAGCUCCCAAGUCUUUGGACAUGAAACAGGCAGUGCUGGGAAGAAGGGGACGUAGGCUGGGCACCAAAGCCAGAGCACAGCCCAUGUCCUGAGGCCUUAGUCACAUGGAGGGAAGAAAUUAUUAAGGAUGGGUUAAAAGAGCUUGGACAUUAAUGCAGUGAGGGAGAAACAGUGGACCUUCUUCUCACAUUUACUUGAGCUUCCUUUUAAAGUGUUUGAAGGAGCUGGGUGCGGUGGCUCACUCCUGUAAUCCCAGCUAUUAGGAAGGCUGAGACAGGAAAAUUACUUGAGGCCAGGAGUUCAAGACCAGCCUGAGCAACAUAGUGAGACUCUGUCGGUAUAAAUUAAAUAAAUAAAAUUUUUUAAAGUGUUGGAAGCAUUCCACACUGUGUCCCUUAUUAAAGAUUUGGUGGGGGGUUCCUGGUGUAGAGCACUCCAAAAUCCCUCCAAUCCCCAGACUCCUUUUUAUUAUUAUUAUUAUUUUGAGACGGAGUUUCGCUCUUGUUGCCCAGGCUGGAGUGCAGUGGUGCGAUCUUGGCUCACUGCAGCCUACGCCUCCUGGGUUCAAGCGAUUCUCCUGCCUCAGCCUCCCAAGUAGCUGGGAUUACAGGCAUGUGCCACCACACCCGGCUAAUUUUUGUAUUUUUAUUCGAGACAGGGUUUCACCAUGUUAGGCUGGUCUCAAACUCCUGACCUCAGGUGAUCCACCCGCCUCAGCCUCCCAAAGUGCUGGGAUUACAGGCAUGAGCCACCACACCCGGCCUUAUUAUUUUAUUUUAUUUUAUUUUAUUUUUGAGGCAGUCUAACUCUGUCGCCCAGGCUAGAGUGCAGUGGCAUGAUCUCAGCUCACUGCAGCCUCCACCUGCCAGGUUCAGGCUGAGACAGGAGAAUCCCGGGUAGCUGGGAUGACAGGCACGCACCACCAUGCCCAGCUAAUUGUUUAUUUAUUUAUUUAUUUAUUAUUAUUUUCCUCAAGAUGGAGCCUUGCUCUGUCGCCCAGGCUGGAGUGCAACGGUGCGAUCUCGGCUCACUGCAACCUCCGCCUCCUGGGUUCAAGCAAUUCUCCUGCCUCAGCCUCCCGAAUAGCUGGGUUUACAGGCGCGCUACCACGCCCGGCUAAUUUUUUGUAUUUUUAGUAGAGACGGGGUUUCACCACGUUGGCCAGGCUGGUCUCGAACUCCUGACCUCUUGAUCCGCCCGCCUCAGCCUCCCAAAGUGCUGACAUUACAGCCAUGAGUCACCGCGCCCGGCCUAUUUUAUUUUAUUUUUGAGGCAGAGUCUCAUUCUGUCACCCAGGCUGGAGUGCAGUGGCACCGUCUCAGCUCACUGCAGCAUCCGCCUCCUGAGUUGAAGCAAUUCUCCUGCCUCGGCCUCCCGAGUAGCUGGGACCACAAACCCGACUAUUUAUUUUUGUAGAGACAGGGUCAUGCUUUGUUUCUGAGUCUGACCCUCUAGUUUUUUACUAUUUGAAAGGAGAGGCCAGGUGCGAUGGCUCACACCUGUAAUCCCAGCACUUUGGGAGGCUAAGCAGAUCACCUGAGGUCAGGAGUUCAAGACCAGCUUGGCCAACAUGGUGAAACCCCAUCUCUAAUAAAAAUACAAAAAAAAAUUAGCCGGGCCUGGUGGCAGGCGCCUGUAAUCCCAGCUACACAGGAGGCUGAGGCACGAGACUCACUCGAACGAUUCUGGGUGACAAGAGUGAAACUCCGUCUCAAAGAAAAAAGAGAGAGAGUUUGAUUUUUUUUCUUCCUAAAAGAGCAAAAAAGUCCUUCAUUGCCAAAUCUGAGGAAAAAGGGUCAGCAGAGCAAUACCAUAUUUAUCCAUUGACAUAAAGUAGCAAGGCAUUUUCUCAUAUAGACCUUUAUUUUCAUGUUCUGGAAGAUGAGUUAGGAAGGCACAGCAAUAUUGUUUCUUCUUUUUUUUUUUUUUCUUUUUUUUUUAAUUUGAAACAGGGUCUCACUUUGUCACCCAGGCUGGAGUGCAGUUGCAGCCUCAACGUCCUGGGCUCAAGCAAUCCUCCCAUCUCAGCCUCCCAAGUAGCUGGGACUACAGGCAUGCACCACCACGACCGGCUAAUUUUUGUAUUUUUUGGUAGAGAUGAGGUUUCGCCGUGUUGCCCAGGCUGGCCUCAAACUCCUGAGCUCAAGUAAUCCACCUGCCUUGACCUCCCAAAGUUCUGGGAUUAGAGGCAUGCUCCACUGUGCCUGGCCUGGGAAGGCACAGCAAUAUUGAAAAAAAGGAACAUUGCUUUCUAAGGUUGGAGUACAGUGGCACGAUCAUGCCUCGCUGCAGUCUCGACCCCCUGAGCUCAGCUCAGCUGGAGUGCAAUGGCACAAUCUCGGCUCACUGCAACCUCUGCCUCCCGGGUUCAAGUGAUUCUCCUGCCUCAGCCUACUGAGUAGCUGGGAUUACAGGCAUGCGCAGCCACACCCAGCUAAUUUUGUAUUUUUAGUAGAAAUGGUGUUUCUCUAUAUUGGUCAGGCUGGUCACGAACUCCCAAGCUCUGGUGAUCCACCCACCUCGUCCUCCCAAAGUGUUGUGAUUACAGGCGUGAGCCACCGCACCCAGCCAGUGUUAGUGUAUUUUAUGUGUAGUCCAAGAUAAUUCUUCUUCCAGUGUGGCCCAGGGAAGCCAGAAGAUUGGACAGCCCACUAUAGAGUCUAUAGUGUGCUGCGUUGCCAGGUGGUUUUGUCCAACUGUAGGCUAAUGUAAGUGUUCUGAGCACAUUUAAAGUAGGGAAGGCUAAGCUAUAAUGUUCAGUAGGUUAGGUGUACUAAAUGCUUUUUUUUUUUGAGUUGGAGUGUUGCUCUAUCGCCCAGGCUGGAGUGCAGUGGUGCAAUCUCUACUCACUACAGCCUCUGCCUCCCAGGUUCAAGCCAUUCUCCUGCCUCAGCCUCUUGAGUAGCUGGGAUUAUAGGCAUGUGCCACCACACCCAGCUAAUUUGUAUUUUUAGUAGAGAUGGGGUUUCACCAUGUUGGCCAGGCUGGUCUCAAACUCCUGACCUCAAGUGAUCUGCCCGCCUCAGCCUCCCAAAGUGCUGGAAUUACAGACGUGAGCCACCGCACCUGGCCCUAAAUGCAUUUUUGACUUAAGAUAUUUUCUAUGUAUGGUGGAUUUAUUGGGACAUACUUCAUUUUAAGUCAAGGAACAUUUGUAUUAAACAGUAUUGCUGGUAUUUCUUGUCCCAAUAUUACCGAACAGGGAGUGGAUGUGACUUUUUCUUUUCUUUUUUUUAAAAAGCAAAAACAAAAAACUUUUAACAGAUAGGGCCUCACCUCUGUGGCCCAGGCUGGAGUGUCUAUGGGCUGAAGUACAGUGGCGUGAUCACCACUCACUGUAACUUUGAGCUCCUGGGCUCAAGCAAUCUUCUGCCUCAGCUUCCCGAGUAGCUGGGACCACAGGCACACGCUACCACACCUGGCUAAUUUUUAUUUUUUGUAGAGAUGAGGUCUAUGUUGCCCAGGCUGGUCUUGAACUCCUGGCCUCAGGCAAUCCUCCUGCCUCAACCUCCCAAAGCAUUGGGAUUACAGAUGUGAGCCACUGCACCUGGCAACUUUUUCUUACACUGAACAAGCCAGUAUUGGGGCCAGGGUCUCAGACACUGUGACUGAUGCUCUUUAUUUACCUGUUUGCAUCCAGCAUUGCUGACAAGGCAAGAGUAGGUAACUGCUGCUCACUGGCAUUUGGGCAUGCACAGCAAAGGGCUCCAUGUAAUCUGAUGGUUAUGCCCAUGAAAGCUCAUUAAGAGAGCUCAGAUACUAGGCCCAGAGGAUCAGGGCUUCUUAGGUGUGCAGGGACACUUGGUGAAAAUGGUUGUAUCAGUUAGCUAUUGCUGUAUAACAAGCCAUCCCCAAACAGUAACUAAACAGCAGCGAUUUGUUAUUGUUCUCCAUCUUUUGGGCUCGUUGGGUUCUUUGUAGAUCUUGCUGAGCUUACUCGUAUGGCUGCAUACAGUGUACAGCUGGAUUGUCCUGGGGUGGAAGCUCCAAGAUGGUCUUACCCAUACAUCUGGGGCAUUGCUGGGGACAGCUGGAAGCCUGGGAGUUCCCUCUGUCCUCUUGGUCUCCCAACAUUCUGAUCACUCAGUAGUCUAGCUUGAGUUUUAUUUACAUGGUAGUUUCCAAGGCCACUUAAGGCCUAGGCUCAGAAGUCCCAUAACAUCACUUACCAAGUAUUCUAUCAGUCAAAGCAAGUCACAGGGCCAGCCCAGAUUCAGGGAGAGGGGAAAUACAUGCCUGUUGUUGUUGUUGUUGUUGUUGUUGUUGUUGUUGUUGUUGUUGUUGUUUUGAGAUGGAGUCUCUCUCUGUUGCCUGAGUAGCUGGGAUUACAAGCGUGCGCCACCAUGCCCAGCUAAUUUUUGUAUUUUUAGUAGAGACAGUGUUUUACCAUGUUGCCCAUGCUGGUCUUGAACUCCUGAGCUCAAGUCAUCCGCCCGCCUCGGCCUCCCAAAGUGCUGGGAUUACAGGCGUGAGCCAUCGCGCCUGGCCUUUUUUGUUUUCUUGUUUGUUUGACAGAAUCUGGCUCUGUUGCCCAGGCCAGAGUGCAGUGGCACGAUCUCAGCUCACUGCAACCUCCACCUCCCAGGUUCAAGUGAUUCUUUUGCCUCAGCCUCCCAAGUAGCUGGGAUUACAGGCACCUGCCACCGCGCCCGGCUAAUUUUUCUAUUUUUAGUAGAGACGGGGGUCUCACCAUGUUGGCCAGGCUGGUCUCGAACUUCUAACCUCAGGCGAUCUGCCUGCCUUGGCCUCCCAAAUCACUGGGAUUACAGGCAUGAGCCACCACACCUGGCAGGAAAUAUAUGCCUUUUAAUGAGAGAAGCUACAUGUGCAAACAGGAAUGGGAGGAGUGGUAGGAGCCACAUUUUCGAAUAAUCCUCCACAAGGGCCAGACCUCAAAGAAUGGGUCUUAGAGGGAACGUGCUGCCUGUCCUGAUGUGUGGCCAGCAGAGCCAGGACCAGGUGCAGAAGCCGACUGGAAUCACAACCCUGUGAAUCAGGAUUAAAGAACAAAGGACACCUUCCUAAAGGUACUGACUCAUAGAUCCCAUACCCUGUUCUCACGGCCUUAUGUUCACUUCCACAAAGCAGACCACACAAGGUCGGGUGCAGUAGCUCAUGCCUGUGAUCCCAGCACUGUGGGAAGCCAAGGCAGGUGGAUUGCUUGAGGCCAGGAGUUCGAGACCAGCUUGGGCAACAUAGUGAGACCCUGUCUUAACAAAAAAAUUUUAAAACUAGCCAGGCGUAGCAGCAUGCACCUCUAGUCCUAGUUACUUGGGAAGCUGAGGCAGGAGGAUCUCUGGAGCCCAGGAAUUUGAGGUUACGGUGAGCUAUGAUCACGCCACUGCACUUCAGCCUGUGUAACAGAGUGAGACCCUGUCUCAGAAGAAAAAAAAAAAAAGCAAACCACACAGGUGGCCAUGAUGCUGGACCGCUAAGCAAUCUAUUCCUCUUUGUGUUGAGCCUUCAUUGUAGGCCAUCACCCAAACCAUCUCCUCUUCCCCCUCCAAGUGUCCUGCAGACCAGGCUUUGGGAACGCUCUUCAGAGGAGCCCACACCUGCCCUGCCCUACCCAGCACUACCAUGUGAAUAUCCUUAAUUUUCUGUAGUACUUGCAAUAGGAUGGACUCAUGUGUCUGUGCCCAGCAGUACAAAACCAGGCAGGAAUGAGAAUAGCAGAGGGUACAGUCGGGCUCAGUACUCCCUUUGGUUUGGAAGUGGACAGUGUGGAGGUCUCUUGCCUUAAGGAGCAUGUGUGUGAGUGUGUGGUGUAAACAGAUUUCUCUCUUCUGCCCUUCUGAACACAAGGGUAGAGUGGGCCUGCCUUAGUUUACUAUGGCUGCCAUAACAAAAUACCACAGAUUGGGUGCUUUAAACAAAAUGAAUUAUCUCCCAGUUCUGGAGGCUGGAAGUCCAAGAUCAAAGUGCCAGCAGGGCUGGGUUCUGAGGCCCUUCUCCUUGGCUUGCAGAUGGCCACCUUCUCCCUGUAUCUGCACAUGGGCUUUCCUCUGUCUGCAUCCAAAUCUCUUCUCAUAAGGACCCCAGUCAGACUGGAUUAGGGCGCCACCCUAACAGCCUCAUUUUAAUUUAAUCAUUCCCUUGAAGACUUUAUCUCCAAAUACAGUUGCAUUCCGAGGUACUGGGGUUGGACUUCAACAUAAGAGUUUUGGGGGCAGGCCGAGCAUGGUGGCUCAUGCCUGUAAUCCCAGCACUUUGGGAGGUCAAGGCGGGCAGAUCGCUUGAGGUCAGGAGUUCAAGACCAGCCUGGCCAACAUGGCAAAACUCUGUCUCUACUGAAAAUACAAAAAAUUACCCAGGCGUGGUGGCAGGUGCCUGUAAUCUCAGCUACCAGGAGGAGGCUGAGGCAGGAGAAUCUCUGGAACCGGGGAGGCGGAGGCUGCAGUGAGUUAAGAUCAUGCCACUGAACUCCAGUCUGGGUGACAGAGUGAGACCCCAUCUCAUACACAUGAAAAAAAGUUUUUGGGAGAGAUGCUAUUCAACUAUUCAGCUCAUAACAGGGCCAUUCCCCUUUCCAACUGGGACAGCAAUCACUACUGUUUGUAAUGGGAGGCAUUUCAGAAGGUCAUUCCCUAUUGGUAAUGAAUUUCAGGGACAGCUUCACCCAUAGGGUGCAUUUGAAGUGUUUGGGAGGAGGUUAAGGAAGUGGAGGAGCUUGGCCAGCAAUCAGAAUAAUCAGCUCAGCUAUUUUGUUCUGAAAGUCUCUGUCAAAGCCAAUUUUCUUUUCUUUUCUUUUUCUUUCUUUUUUUUUUUUUUUUUUUGAGAUGGAGUCUUGCUCUGUUGCCCAGGCUGGAGUGCAGUGGUGCGAUCUUGGCUCACUGCAACCUCUGCCUCCUGGAUUCAAGCGAUUCUCCUGCCUCAGCCUCCUGAGUAGCUGGGACCACCCGGCUAGUUUUUGUAUUUUUAGUAGAGACAGAGUUUCAAUACGUUGGCAUGCUGGUCUCAAACUCCUGACCUCAGGCGAUCCACCUGCCUCGGCCUCCCAAAGUGCUGGGAUAACAGGUGUGAGCUAUCACACCUGGCCUGAAGCCAAUUUUCAAAGAAACUGACCUAUUCCCUCCCAUGCCAGGGCCUCAGAGGGAGAGGCUGCCGAUCGUCCCCAUCUGGUAUCCAGCAGCUUCAUAAGACCCCUGGCCCCUGAGAAAUGUUGGGAUCUUGGUUCUCUUUGUGGAGGUCAGCGGUUGCGGGGCAGAGGUAAAGAAAAGUCUUGGACUGAGCGUGCUCUGCAUCUCUCACCAGGAUUUCCACCCCAGCAGUUCUGUCCUGCUUGUUAAAUAGACCAUCCAGCCAGAAAAGCCACCCAGACAUGCGAUUCCUCCCUGGACUGUGUGGCGAGGAGGGAGGGAAGACCGAGAUUCUGGCAUGUCGGCGUAUUUACCUGCAGGUUAAGAGGGAGCUGCUGCCUCAGAGCUGGAGUUCAGAUUGUCCAGGGUGUUUUGCUCACUGGCUGUUGGCUUGGAUCUGAGCAGAAGCAUUUGGACCUCCCCCACCCCGGCCCUGUUGUGAAAUGCUCUCCCUCUCCCUGGAAUGGGAACAGCAGUUCUAGGAAUUCCAUCCUCGUACUCUCACUAAGCCUCACGUCCCCACAUCCAAUGGAAGAAUGCUUCUGCCAAAGGAACCCCAGGGGAAAGUGAGGGCCAUGCGCGGCUCAGUUUACAGAAGUCCUAUCCAGCCGCAGAGUAUGAGCACUGGAGGGCUAUGGGGAAGCGCUCAAGGCGGGGAACAUCCUGUUCUGACAAGCACCCAGAAGUCUAAGACCUCCUAAUUUUUCCAGCUGAGAGUGUUAGCUAAGGGGUGGUAGCCUGGUCUGCCUUACUAAUUUUAUUUUAUUUUGUAGAGACAGGGUCUCACUCUGUCACCCAGGCUAGAGUACAGUAGCAUGAUCCCAGCUCACUGCAGCCUCAAACCCCUGGGCUAAAGCGAUCCUCCUGCCUCAGCCUCUGGAGUAGCUGGGACCAUAGGCGCACGCCAUCAUGCCAGGCUACUUUUUUAAUUUUUUGUAGAGAUGGGGGUCUCACUGUGUUGCCCAGGCUGGUCUCAAACUCCUGGCCUCAAGCAAUCCUCAUGCCUUGGCCUCCCAAAGCACUGUGAUUGCAGGCAUGAUCCAGCCUUGCUAAUUUUAAACAAUAGGAGGCAUUUAGGAUUGGAGUCGAGGUGGGUUAGGUUGGCCUCUGGACGGCUGUGAGGGGACAGCCUUUCUGGGCCUCAGUUUCCUCUUCUGCAAGGUGAAGCUCCUGCGUGGGGAGUUGUAAGGGGGAAUGAGACCUAGCAUGUCAGGCUGUGAGCACAGACCGGAGGGGAUGACAGAUGGCAACGAUUGCUGUAUGCACCUCGCCCGAAAAUCUAAGCCUUCAUUCAUGCAGCACUCCGAUGCUCCUUGGCCUCCAAAAAUGCUUCCUGUUCCCGGCUCGUGACAUCUUUCUUUGGUUGCGUAUGUUCUCCCAAGUGAUUUUCUCUUUAACAGCAAUUAUGUGAGUGUCACUUUAUUCUCACACAAAGAAUCUUGAUGUUCUUUAUUUUAUUUAAUCUUCACGAUACUCCUCUGAGGUGUGGAUUUUGUUAUUCCCUCCCUCUUAUAACUGAGGAAUGAAAGUGCAACUUGGAGUUCAGGGACUGAUAUGUGGCAAGCUCAGGUUUGAGCCCAGAACAUCUGCCUCCAAGCACUAUGCUAUUUGUACAUUAAGUACCUGCCAACAAGGAGAUCCUAAAAAUAAAUGGCACAUGCCUGGUGCUUUCAAAAUAGUUUGAAUGAGCAUAGUACAAUGCCGUUGUUUUACAGGUGAGGAAACUAGAACCUAAGGGAAUGUCUCUGUGGCUUUAUUUAUUGUAAUCCGAGAACUUUGGGAGGCCGAGGUGGGGGGAUUGCUUGAGCCCACAAGUUCAAGACCAGUCAAGACAACAUGACAAAACCUUGUCUACAAAAAAAAAAAAAAAAAAAAAUUAGCUGGGCAUGGUGGUGCAUGCCUGUAGUCCCAGCUACUUGGGAGGCUGAGGCAAGAGGAUCACUUGAGCCCAGGAGGCAGAAGUUGCAGUAAGCCAAGAUCACACUAUUGUUCUCCAGCCUGGGCAGCAGAGCGAGACUCUAUCUCAAAAAAUAAUUAUAAUGAUAAUUAAUUAAUAGAAAUAUUUCCUUACUUUUUUUAGAGACAGAUCUUGUUCUGUCUCCCAGACUACCGUGCAGUGGUAAAAUUGUAGUUCCCUACAACCUUGAAUUCUGGGUUCAAGCCAUCCUCCUGCCUCAGCCUCCUAAGUAGCUGGGACUGCAGACAUGCACCACAACACCUGACUAAUUUUUUUUUGUUUGUUUGAGACGGAGUCUUGCUCUGUCACCCAAGCUGGAGUGCAAUGGUGCGAUUUUGGCUCACUGCAACCUCUGCCUGGGUUCAAGCAAUUCUCCUGCCUCAGCCUCCCGAGUAGCUGGGAUUACAGGCGUCUGCCACCACGCCCAGCUAAUUUUUGUAUUUUUAAUAGAGACAGGGUUUCACCAUGUUGGUCAGGCUGGUCUCAAACUCCUGACCUCAAGUGAUCCACCUGCCUUGGCCUCCCAGUGUGGUGGGAUUACAGGCGUGAGCUUCCCCACCCGGCCUACACCUGGCUAAUUUUUAACUUCUUUUGUAGAGAUGGGAUCGUGCUUUGUUACCCAUGCUGGUCUUGAACCCCUCCAUUGCUUUAUAUAUUGAAAGCAAACUACUGUCACCACAAAGCAUGCCUUGAAAGAAAAAUAUCAUUCCUAUAUUUGGUGCACAUUUGGAGUUUAAAAUCCUGAAGGAUACUGGCUAACAAACAUGCUGAAGUUUAUAAUGGUUCUUGGUUUCCGUGGGCCUAAAAAGGAGGGAGAACACCCUCACCCUGUCCCUUCCAAGUGUCUCUCCUGAGUUGCUUACCUGUCCUCUGAUUUAUCCCUGCUUUGACUGAUAAUUGGUUGCUGGUAUGGAUGGAACUGAAUAAAUGGUGAAAUAUGUCACCUGGACCCUGCAGGUCAUGAUAAUAACUAGAAUUGUAUGGGGCUUACAUUGUGUCAGCCACUGUUCAAAUCCACACAGUAAUCCUAUGAAGUUGGCCCUAUCAUCAUCAUCAUCAUCAUCAUUGUCGUCGCCAAUCUGGAGAAGCAGAAACUGAGGCACAAAGAUUUUAAGUCAUAACUUGCCCAGAGUCAUGAGAGCUAGCAAGUGGAAUGACAGAGCUGGGUUUCCAAAGUAUUUCAGGUAGAAUGAGCCUCAGUUAUUGUCCCCAGAUAGUUCAAGACCGAACCUUGAACUCUACCCCCAGCACACAACGGGCUGGAUCCCAGCUACACAAAUGGUUUGAGGUGUAGGGGUGCUCCUCUCUUCUUCCCUUGCCCUGCUGGGAGGCAGGGUUCUGGGUUUCCCUGCUCUGCAUCUCUGGGUUGGCAAUCAAGGUCAGCCUUAGCUCACCUCCCUCACCCCUCGGGCACUGGAGAACUGGGGUGAGAUGGAUGUUUCUCUGGGCCGGGGGUUUAGGGUCAGGCUGCUUGGAAGCAGGAAGAUGGAGGACUUGGGAUCUGUGUCCCUUGGUGAUCUCCUCUUAUGCCUGUCUGUGGACUUCACACACUUGGCUGUAAUCACUUGUUUACGGGUCUUUCUCGACUAAAUUACAUAAGGUUUGGAUCUAGGCACUUUCACUACAUCUGACUUUUUUAAAUCCCUAGCACCUCGCAUGGUGCUAGUACAAAGUAGAGGUUCAGUGAGUAAAUAAAUGAGACCAGCACACCUACUUUCAGGAAAAAAGGAUUGAGCAAAGACCGGCAAAUAUGUGGGUAAGGAUUAACAUUUUUGUCCCUGGAUUGCAGUAGUCUCUAUACUUGAAUACAGUUCAUGGGAGUUAAGGUGUAGUAUAGGGUUUUGGGUUUUUUGUUUUUUUUUUUUUGAGACAGAGUCUCACUCUCUUGCCCAGGGUGGAAUGCAGUGAUGCGAUCUCAACUCACUGCAACAUCUGCCUCCCGGGUUCAAGCAGUUUUCCUGCCUCAGCCUCCCAAGCAACUGGGAUUACAGGCACAUGCCACCACGCCCAGCUAAUUUUUGUAUUUUUAGUAAAGACAGGGUUUUGCCAUGUUGGCCAGGCUGGUCUCGAACUCCUGACCUCAGGUGAUCCACCCACCUUGGCCUCCCAAAGCACUGAGAUUACAGGCAUGAGCCACUGCGCCCAGCCUGAAUCACUUUUUUGAUAAAUGAGGUUUUUUUUACUUCUGUAUUUUCUCUCUUCCUCUCCCCUCAUUGUCCCAAUAAAAUUACAUUUCAAAGUUUUAAAAAUCCAGCCAGGUGCAGUGGCACACACCUGUAAUCCCAGCUCCUCAGGAGGCUGAGGCGGGAGGAUCACUUGAGCCCAGAAGUUUGAGUCUAGCCUGGGCAACAUAGCAAGAUUCUGUCUUUAAGGAAAACAAAAAACAAAAACAGGCUGGGUGCAGUGGAUCACUUGAGCCCAGGAGUUCCAGCCCACCCUAGGCAACAUGGUAAAACCCUGUCUCUACAAAAAAGUAUAUACAAAAAUUAGCUGGGUGUGGUGACACUUGCCUGUAGUCCCAGCUACUCAGGAAGCUGAGGUGGGAGGAUCACCUGAGCCCAGGAGGUCCAAGGUUGCAGUGAGCCAUGAUGGCACCACUGCACUCCAGCCUGAGUGACAGAGCAAGACCCUGUUUCAAAGAAAAAAAUUUAAACUAAAAUUAAAAGUAAACAUUUGUUGUUUUUAUUAUGAUGAUUCUUGAGCCAAGUACUGUCUAUAAUAAUAGCA